ACCAGACUCCUACGGGAGGCAGCAGUGGGGAAUAUUGCACAAUGGGGGAAACCCUGAUGCAGCGACGCCGCGUGAGCGAAGAAGUAUUUCGGUAUGUAAAGCUCUCUCAGCAGGGAAGAAAAUGACGGUACCUGAGUAAGAAGCCCCGGCUAACUACGUGCCAGCAGCCGCGGUAAUACGUAGGGGGCAAGCGUUAUCCGGAUUUACUGGGUGUAAAGGGAGCGUAGACGGCAGUGCAAGCCAGGGGUGAAAGCCCGGGGCCCAACCCCGGGACUGCCCUUGGAACUGUGCGGCUAGAGUGCGGGAGGGGCAGGCGGAAUUCCUGGUGUAGCGGUGAAAUGCGUAGAUAUCAGGAGGAACACCAGUGGCGAAGGCGGCUUGCUGGACGAUGACUGACGUUGAGGCUCGAAAGCGUGGGGAGCAAACAGGAUUAGAUACCCGGGUA
rnacentral:rRNA from 1 species